rnacentral:ncRNA from 1 species
UCUUCGUAUAGUUAUUGGAGUUACAAGUUUAGUUGUCGGUUUCAUUUCUUUGAAUACGGAUAAGAGGAGGCUGAUGUUGUGACAAGAACCUUUUCAGUAAUAGCUAGUGGUUUCGUGAAAUAGUACUAAAUUAGUACACAACUCGCUUAAUACGUUAAGCAAAUCCCUUAAAUUUGUAUUUGUAGACCUUUCCCAGUCUCAAAUCAAAUCUAUUUUAACAUUGUCUAUAACAGAGACAAUUUAAAAUUUAAACAUGUAAGCUAUCGGAAACAUCAUUCAAUUUAUCAUUUUAAUCGGUAAAUUCACUAAUUUUUUUCAUAAUUAAUAACAUCCCCAAAAAUAGAUAGAGAAAUAACUGUAUAAAACAUUCCCUUAAUAAUAAGUUACAAAAAACCGUGAGUCCCUCCCAAGCUCACGGUUUU